rnacentral:rRNA from 1 species
GUUGAACGCUGGCGGCAGGCCUAACACAUGCAAGUCGAACGGCAGCACAGAAGAGCUUGCUCUUUGGGUGGCGAGUGGCGGACGGGUGAGUAAUGUCUGGGAAACUGCCCGAUGGAGGGGGAUAACUACUGGAAACGGUAGCUAAUACCGCAUAACGUCGCAAGACCAAAGUGGGGGACCUUCGGGCCUCACACCAUCGGAUGUGCCCAGAUGGGAUUAGCUAGUAGGUGGGGUAAUGGCUCACCUAGGCGACGAUCCCUAGCUGGUCUGAGAGGAUGACCAGCCACACUGGAACUGAGACACGGUCCAGACUCCUACGGGAGGCAGCAGUGGGGAAUAUUGCACAAUGGGCGCAAGCCUGAUGCAGCCAUGCCGCGUGUAUGAAGAAGGCCUUCGGGUUGUAAAGUACUUUCAGCGGGGAGGAGGGCGGUGAGGUUAAUAACCUUGCCGAUUGACGUUACCCGCAGAAGAAGCACCGGCUAACUCCGUGCCAGCAGCCGCCGUAA